AGUGAACGCUGGCGGCAGGCUUAACACAUGCAAGUCGAACGGCAGCACCGUACGUGUUUGCUCUUCCGGGUGGCGAGUGGCGGACGGGAGAGGAAUAUAACGGACUCUUCUCUUUCGUGGGGGUUAACGUAGGGAAACUUACGACAAUACCGCAUAUGCCCUACGGGUGAAAGCAGGGGAUCUUCGGACCUUGUGGGAUUGAAUGAGCGGCUGUCGGAUUAGCUAGUUGGCGGGGUAAAGGCCCAGCCUGGCGACGAUCCGUAGCCGGUCUGAGAGGAUGGGCAGCCAGACUGGGACGGUGACACGGUACAUACUCCUACGGGUGGCAGCAGUGGGGAAUAGGGGGCAAGGAGCGCAAACCUUAGCCAGCCGUACCGCGUCGGUGGAGAAGGCCUUGGGGUUGGAAAGCCCUUUUGUGGGGAAAGAAAAGCAGCAGGUUAAUACCCCGCUUUUCUGACGGUACCCAAAGAAUAAGCACCGGCUAACUUCGUG
rnacentral:rRNA from 1 species